UACGGAGGGGGCUAGCGUUGUUCGGAAUUACUGGGCGUAAAGCGCGCGUAGGCGGCUUUGUAAGUUAGAGGUGAAAGCCCGAAGCUCAACUUCGGAAUUGCCUUUAAGACUGCAUCGCUAGAAUUGUGGAGAGGUAAGUGGAAUUCCGAGUGUAGAGGUGAAAUUCGUAGAUAUUCGGAAGAACACCAGUGGCGAAGGCGGGUCUCUGGGCAAUUCCUGACGCUGAGGCGCGAAAGCGUGGGGAGCAAACGGG
rnacentral:rRNA from 1 species